GACAGAACGCGCGGGCGUUAUUCGUUAUGAUUGGGUGUAAAGGGUACGUAGGCUGCUGUUGUAAAUUCUUGGCUUAAAACGCGGAGUGUUCCUACGCGCAAGCCUUUUAAAGAUCCAGCUUGAAUUGAAAAGGGGUUGGGGCAAUUUCUUGUGUAGGGUUUACAUCCCGCCAUACAAGAAGGAACACCGACUGGCGGAGGCGCCUUUCUAGUUUCAAUUGACGCUAAGGUACGGAAGCCUAGGGAGCAAACAGA
rnacentral:rRNA from 1 species